GGGCGCUGCUCCCUCCGUGGCUUCCGGCGAAGGGCGGUUCGCGAGGCCCUGGAGCUGCCCCCCAACCGAUCACUGCUCUCAACCUGCUAACGACACCCAAGUAGAUCUACAGCAGUCAUGAUUCAGCCCAGGAGUGACCGAAGUAAAGGCAGUGUCUCUCAUUGAGAUGAAUAACACCAGGACCCCAGCUGCGUGGAUUAAAGGCUUUUGGAGCUCCAGCCAGGCGUCAGGGCUGUGUCUCUGAGGUGGGAGAACCAACCUCAGGACACUGGUCCACAAGAGACCUCCCAGCUCCACGCAUUAUCAAACGGUGAAAAUCUCCCAGAGAUCUCCAUCUCAACACCAAGACCCAGC